GACGAACGCUGGCGGCGUGCUUAACACAUGCAAGUCGAACGAUGAAGCGGGUGCUUGCACUCGUGGACGAGUGGCGAACGGGCGAGUAACACGUGGGUAACUGGUCCUUUUCUUUGGGUUAACUGCUGGAAACGGCGGCUAUUACUGGAUAUUCCGCCUGCAUCGCGUGGGGUGGUUUGGAAAGUUGUUUUCUGGGAUUGGGGGGGCUCGCGGUCUGUCAGCUGGUUGGUGGGGUGAUGGCUAACCAAGGCGUUGACGGGUAGCCGGCCUGAGAGGGUGGUCGGUCGCACUGGCACUGAGAUACGGCCUAGACUACGACGCAGGGCAGCAGUGGGGACUAUUGCGGAAAGGAUGAAAGAGUGAUGCAGCGACGGCGCGGGCAGCGUGUCGGCCGUAGGGUUGUGCACUCCGUUGUGAAGCGCAAAAGGCUCAGAUGUGGCGGUGUUGAUGGUAGUGGGGGAAGAAGCGCCGGCUAACUACGUG
rnacentral:rRNA from 1 species